UGCAUGCCUGCAGGUCGACGAUUGCCUACGGGAGGCAGCAGUGAGGAAUAUUGAGCAAUGGGCGCAAGCCUGACUCAGUAACGCCGCGUGGAUGACGAAGGCCUUCGGGUUGUAAAAUCCUUUUCUGGGGGAAGAUAAUGACGGUACCCCAGGAAUAAGUUCCGGCUAACUACGUGCCAGCAGCCGCGGUAAAACGUAGGGGACGAGCGUUAUCCGGAUUUACUGGGCGUAAAGCGCAUGUAGGUGGCGCGGAAAGUUGGACGUGAAAGCUCCCGGCUUAACUGGGAGAGGUCGUACAAAACUACCGAGCUUGAGGAUGGAAGGGGAGAGCGGAACUCCCGGUGUAGUGGUGGAAUGCGUAGAUAUCGGGAGGAACACCAGUGGCGAAAGCGGCUCUCUGGUUCAACCCUGACACUGAGAUGCGAAAGCGUGGGGAGCGAACGGGAUUAGAUACCCCGGUAGUCCACGCUGUAAACGAUGGCUACUAGGUGUAGGCGGUCAUUAACCCCGUCUGUGCCGAAGCUAACGCGUUAAGUAGCCCGCCUGGGGACUACGGCCGCAAGGUUAAAACUCAAAAGAAUUGACGGAAUCUCUAGAGGAUCCCCGGGUA
rnacentral:rRNA from 1 species